rnacentral:tRNA from 1 species
GGUGGCUCAGUGGUAGAGUGCUUACCUUGUAUGCAAGAGGCCCUGGGUUCGAUUCCUCAGCACCA